UAUCAAUUCAAUAAAUGUCUGGUGAAAAAAAAUCUAUGCAGAAACCAUCAGCGGGGAUUGCUGAAAUAAGUGAGGUUUCCCUUUACUAGACUGUCAUCACUCUUGAGCUUGUUAUCUUUCAGUUAUACCGUCCUCAUGCUCUGCAUCACUCAUCAUUGACAAUGGGCGUUUAUUAUUUUUGUAUCAUCUCUGUAGUGUUACCUAAUAAGUGCACCGAGUGCCACAAUCAAGCACAGAUGUGUAUUCACUGUAGUGCGCAGGUCUGCACCGACACAAUAUAUCUGUGCUGCACUCUACACAUGCCCCCCUCAUCUCCACAUUUCAAACAUUUCAUCAUCGAAAUGCAUACGCUGCUACAAAGAAAGCUUUACUUUUGAGGCAUGAUGCCUACACUUAAGACUAACAGGCUUUAUUUAAGGCUGGGUGAAUGGUGCACAAAGAAAUGAAGCUAAAAGGCCACGCAGGCGACCGUGUUGUUGUUGGAGUAAAGUCACGUUAAAGGGAUAGGCAACUGCCCCGAAUGUGACACGAUAUUUUGGUGAAAAUGUCGAUCCCUACUGAUAAAAUCGAGCAUGCUGGUCAUGGUUUCAGUAGAAAUUAAAAUUUUAGACUUGUGCAAAAUUUUGCAAAACAAGAUAUGCCACGAGACAUCACUGAAACUGUGGUACUAAAGCUGUAUUAUUACUGCAUGAUUGCAGGUUAAUGUAUGCAAAUAGACUUCUUUUAAGUGCACAAUGCAUAUUGUUUAAAAUUUUGUUCUUUGUUUUAUAGAGCUUUGCUCUUUACUGUGUGCACAGUGCAAUCUAAGGAAAGUUCAUGCAUUCAAGUGGUAUUGCACACACAAAAUAAGUGGAUUGACAGAUCGUGUCAUAUCUCAUUGCAUUAUAGUGCACAUUUUACUGCUUCAUACUCAAGUUUGUGCCGGUGUAAGUUAUGAUUGCACAUUCAAGCUCAAAUAUUUGGUUCCAGCUCACUCGGCUCUAAAGGAACAUGCUUGGAUGACAUGUUGAACUACAUACCAAGAGUCUAAUUACUUUGACUGCCAUGAAAGUGUCGUUCUGGAUUAGAGAACUUGGCGUGGCUAAAAAAAAAAUGGUUGCUAGAAUUGUAUAUGACCAGCAUGGGUAGACAGAUAGCAAUGAAAGCAUGUAGCUGUUAUUGGUGAAAUAAUUCAACAAAUAAAAAAGUAUGAAGCACAUGAAUUUUAGCUUGAUAAACAAAAGGUAAUAAUUUCUUGUUGCUGCCAAACUAUCGCAUUUGCCUCAUUGCUUCUAGCGUAGGAAUUCCUGAACAGUGUUAUCGCUGCAGUAUGAAAAGCUAUGGUUGGUAAGCUUCUAGUGUUACAAAAAGAGAGAGAGAAGGUAUCAUAACAUUGGUUGUUGGCCCCAUUAACAUGGAUUGUCAUUUCCAAGUUAUCCUGUGUUUGCAACUCUCCACUUGCAGCAGAAUAAACCUAGAUUUAACAUGGCGAUUGCCAUUGCCACAUGUGCUUGAAAAUGGGAGUUAUGCAAAUGAUUCAAUAAUGACCCUAUCUCCCUGUCCUGUGCGCUGGCCCAGUCCAACCUCACUUUCACUUGCACUUCAGAAACCCAAUUCUUAGUUCGUAAUCAGAGAUACGCCAGUGACUCCGAACAGAUAACAUUAUGCAAGGUAGGUAUUGCAUGCACAGAAAAGUCCACUUGUAAAGCAGUACCCUUCUUUGUGUGAAUGCCUAUCUGAUGUCAAUCUCCUUGGCAGUGUAUUAUGGAGUUGCUCUUAUAGAGUUGUAUUUCAAUGACCACCAUUUGGUGGAUUCAGCAGUUCUCUAGUGGCCGAUACUCACCAUUUUGCAACUCAUUUGUGAUGUGGCUGUACUUCCCCGUCGACUUCGAUCACUCGCAGCUUAGCUGCCUAUGUCUUUUGUUUUACAUACUGCUGAAAAGAAACAGAAGCUGUUUCUACAUGGCUCAAGCUCAGGAAUGUCAGUGCUAUAUUAUGCACAGUGAACACUGCAUUGAGAUGGCAAUAGACAUGGCAGGACUAGUGUAUGUGCCUGUGAGAGUGAUGGCCGCCAAUAUAUUGAGGCCGAGGUUUUGCGAAGGUACGGAUACCUGUCCUUAAAAUCCCACUUAUGUGUGUUGUGUAAUCACGUUAAUGAUGUAUUAUAGUAGCUAGUCAAUGUUUUCCCACCUCUGCAAAACACUACGCCAAACAAGACAAGAACAUGAUGCAGUAUUUACAGAUCUGUAUAGCUGUACUACUUCAGUGUUUGCGCAUUGAACAUGUAACACUGAUGGCUGUGGUCAGACCACAACAUAGUGAUUGUUGUGUCUGCAACAGUAAAAUGUUGUUUUGUACAAAAGUACUUGAUGGUCAGUCCCAACGGAAUAAAAUGAAAAAUGUGACAAAACUGA